rnacentral:rRNA from 1 species
UACAGAGGGGGCAAGCGUUGUUCGGAAUUACUGGGCGUAAAGGGCGCGUAGGCGGCCUAUUAAGUCAGACGUGAAAUCCCUCGGCUCAACCGGGGAACUGCGUCUGAUACUGGUGGGCUUGAGUUCGGGAGAGGAAUGUGGAAUUCCAGGUGUAGCGGUGAAAUGCGUAGAUAUCUGGAGGAACACCGGUGGCGAAGGCGGCAUUCUGGACCGACACUGACGCUGAGGCGCGAAAGCCAGGGGAGCAAAC